CUCCCCUCUGCCUCGUUGUGGUGGCCCCGGGAGCGGAGGAAGUGAGGAAUAAAUCCAGACUCUCAGCAACGUGGGCAGUAGGAAGGAUCCUUAAGAAUUCCGAGGAGACCAGAUAACUGUGCACAGAUCAAGUCUCUUCAGGAUCUCUUUAGAAGUAGCAAUCAGGCAUGACCUCCUAACGGGUGUUCACGGAAAUGGUGCCAUGCAUGCGCCAAACUUCAGCUUGCAUCCACCACAUCAGACCCACUGAGUGAGCUCCUGCGUUAUUGCAUGGGAUGGCAAUGUUGACAUAGCGCAGAGGAGAAUCUGUGUGACACAGAGCAAUGGUAGCUAGGUUAACAUAAGACUCCUCCGUGAGAGGCUGGUGGUCAGCCCUGGGGUCAGUGACCACAAGCAGCCGUGGCUCCCGGAAGGCUGCCUGGAUCUGGUUGGUGAAGGUUCCAGGAGUAAAGCGGCAGCAAUUGGAGUGGCUCCAGUGGCAGCAGCAAACCAGCACAGCCGUUUGGCCAUUCCUGGAUGAUAUGACACUGACAUCAGCAGGGUUUUCAAUGGCAACAAUGGCAUGAGCUGCCUGGAGAAGCUUCUCCCAGGUCCUCUUCAGAUUUGUGAUGUAGAUGCCAUCACUUUUCCUUUUAUAGAUAUACUGCUCCAUCUGGAAGUCAAGGUUGGUGCCACCUAAAUGAGUUCCUGCUGCCAGGAACUCAAGGGCAUCAAGGGCUCCGGACAUUGUGAAAGUUUCCCUUUAAGUUACGACGGGAACCCAGAACAACGCUGUACAGAGCCCUCAGCAGGUAGUGCUGAAAGGAGUAUUGCUGUUUUAUUUGGACUAAGGAACCCAUCCUCAGACCUUUGGUCUUUUGGCCAAAGUGGGGUCCGACGAGGACAGAAUAUGCCAACUCCUGACCCAGUAUGUCAGUGAUAAAAGUCCAGUUUCUCAAGAGGAGAUAGAUUAUGCUCUGUGUUGGAGACAAGGGCCUGUCCUUCUCUAUCCCCUAAAGGAAUUCAGGGGAUAAAAGCAAAGCCAAACACAAAACCCCCACAGACCACCUUCCCCCACCAACCCCUCCACCCCAAACUGAAGUCAGCCCUUCCCCCACCUACCCCUCCACCCCAAGCUGAACAGUCAGCCCUUCCCCCACCUACCCCUCCGCCCCAAGCUGAACAGUCAGCCCUUCCCCCACCUACCCCUCCGCCCCAAGCUGAACAGUUAGCCCUUCCCCCACCUACCCCUCCACCCCAAGCUGAACAGCCCUUCCCCCACCUACCUCUCCACCCCAAACUGAACAGUCAGCCCUUCCCCCACCUACCCCUCCACCCCAAACUGAACAGUCAGCCCUUCCCCCACCUCCUCCUCUGCCCAAGCUGAAAACUCAGUCCCACCCCCAUAUAACUGUUGUAUCUGACCAAGCAUAGAAAGUCAACACCAAGACAAAAGUAUGCCAAAUUGCAGGGUUUAUUGCUGGCGACCACAGAGGACUCACCUCUCUCCAACCUGUGGCAGAGAAAGAAGGGUGACAAGACCUUUUUAUACCCACAAAACCACCUUGGGAGUGGGGGUGAGGAGCGGAGAUGGGAUGAAAGACUAAAUCAUCUCCUAGGCUGAGACGAGGGUGAGGGGGGGCUCCAGACAUUCCAAGGGCUAGGGGAUUACUUGACAUUUAAGAGAUUUACAGAAAUUAAGAUAACCAUUUGCUUACACAUCGUCUGGGUAGGGGUUACUUGGCCCUAGAAUGGAAUUAUCGGCAGGGGGGGGUGCUUACUCUGGCCAUUACCAGUAAACAGAGGCCAGCAAUUCUGGCAGUUACAGAUAAGAGAAAGUAAGCAGCUUUACCUCUCUUUGCAUUUUGCAAGGUAAAUUAGCAGUUUACAGAAGCCAAGGUUAGCAGUCAUUGUGAGGAGAAUGGAAACGGUCUUGUCUCUUUAUAAAAUGGCAUUGUACAGGUUCUAACUCUAGGCUAGCUAUAUCACAUAACCCUGCCCCAUGGGCCUUAACGUCCCACUGGACAGCCCCGGACACACCCCUCCUCAGGAAAGCACCAGGGGGAGAUAGAACAAUGCUAAAGGGACAUUCAAAACCCUCCUUUCCCCUCUUCCUCAAGAAGUCUCCCCCAACCCUUUUUCCCUUCAGGGAAGUACCCCUAGGAGGAGGGGGUAUUGGUUUUGUAAAUGUCCCCUUAACAAGUUCACAGGUUAGAAAUCUGAAAAGGGAACUGAAGCCACUGUUAGGUGACCCUUGUGGACCUGUAGAUCAAAUUGACCAAUUUCUGGGGCUACAACUGUACACUUGGGCUGAACUGAUGUCUUCUAGGUAUUCUCAGGAGAGGAAAGAACCGUGGCUCAGGCUGGUCCAAAAGCAGUGAGUUAUCUCAACUGAUCGUUUACGGUCAGUUACAGAUCGAACUCCUUGUUCUACUCUUUCCCCCCUUGUCACUACUACACUUGACUAGUCUUUAAAAAAAAAAAAAAAAAGACCCAUGACCCACAGGGCCAUUAUGGUAGUCUGGGAGUGGGAGCACCCCCUGCUCAGAAUGUCCUUGCAGUGGAGCAUAAAUGCCCAGCCCAGGACCCUCAAUGGGAUAACAACACUGUGGUCCACCUAGAAAACACAAGACCACAGGGACAUGGUAAUGAAAGGGGUUCCAGAGUCAGUUCCUCGAACCCCAGAUAUUUCCUGAGCAUUUAAUGUACAACUAGGGAAAGGUGAAGGGCCUGUGGAAUUCUUAGACUGAAGGAACAGAUAAGAAAAUAGGCAGGUUUGGACAUAGAGGACCCACUAGGACCAGGGCUGUUGAGGCUCCACUUGGUCACCAGUAGUUGGCCAGACAUUGCAAAGAAAUUACAAGAGCUAGAAAACUGGAAGGAUAGUUCCUCUUUUACAAGAGGCCCAGAAGGUAGAUGUAGGGAGGGACUGAGGAAAAGCAGAAGCAAAAGGCAAAAAUUAUGCUGCCCACCCUACAGCAGAGAACUCUUCAACAGGGAUCCCAUGGAAGUAGAACUCGUAAACCUCCUAACUGCCGGGCUGCCAGACCCUGCACGGGAAAUGAAGUGAUGAAACCCAAGUCAGGGAGCAGGGAAAGCAGGUGUUUCAGGGGUGGAAAGCCAGGACGUGCUAAGAAGGCAUCUCAAGUGGGAGAGGGAAAAGAAAGUCCUUGCACUCAUGACACGAGGAAGAAUGGGGGUCAUGGGCUCUUUGUCUCCCAUCUCGAUUCCCACCCAGAGUCCUUGAAACACUUAAAGGCGGGACCCAAAUCAGAGACAGUUGCUUUCCCAGUCGAUUCAGGAGCAGCUCCCUCCUCUCCGUUUGGGCGCCACGUCUGCCAGGAACUCUUGACCAGCAAGAGGGUUCCAACCUGAAUGGGGAGUACGCUGGAAGUAAUAAAGGAGACAGAAAGCGGGGUCAGGAGGAAUGAAGAGACAUUGCUCUCUCAUCAAGUUUAUUAUCUGAGGGCUAAAAAUAUAUACUUUUCAGGGUCUGAUUGACGUCAUGGUAAGGAGAAAAAUAAGUAGCUAAAUCAUCGAUUCUAUACAAUAAAUUGACAGCUAAGUGAAAGGUGGCUAUGGAAGAUAAUAUCUUUGGUGCUUAUAAGCAAGUUUCUUGUAGCAAAAAAGUUUGUUCCUCAUGAAUGCAGGGGGCCAUCUGGUUUCACCCAUCUGGUUAUCUUUUAGCUAGAUUCUCCUUUUUUCCUGUCCUCGACUUCCCUAUCUCUACUUCUCUCUGCUUCUGGGGUCAACCUCCCAUAAGGUAAACACCUUCUUUGCAGUCUCACAUGGGAGGAUCCCCAACACUCCCUGUUUUCUUCAUCAGGUUUAGCCCAUUCAGCAGAAGACCUUGUUGUCUCAGGAGUUAAGAGGGAAGGAUUCAGGGAGAAAUUCUAGAGGAAAAAGAAGUCAAAUGUAAGAAUAAGUGGAUCACUAUUAAGUUCUUGUUAAUUCCCGAAGCAGGAACCAAUUUAUUAGGAAGGCACUGAAUGUUAAGGUUAGACUUAGGCCUGUGUGUUAAUUAGUCAGGGAAAGUUCCUUCCUUCCUUAAGCCUGGUGAGCAGGCCUAGGUCUGUGUGUUAAUCAGGGAAAACUCCUUACUUCCUUAAAGGAGUAAGAAGUUUUAUAUACACAUCCAUCCUGACCUAUGGUCAAAGGAAGGAACUUGAGGAAAACUACGGGUUCCUCCAAUCCAUGUCAGAUUAAAAACUCCCAGGGAAGUAGUGAAAAGGAAACAGUACCCUAGUCCCUAGGAAGCCAGGAUAGGGCUGAAACCUAUCAUUGAAAGCCUUGUCCACGACAGACUCCUUGAAUCCUGUAUGUCCUUCUGACAGUACAUUGCCUAUAAGGAAGCCAGACGGGUCAUACCGGCUAGUGUAAGACCUCGGGCUAUUAAUCGAAGGUUCCCAGUCCUUACACCAUUGUCAAUAGAAUCCCACACAACCAGCAGGAACUCAGGAGAAUCUUAGGAUUGGUUGGAUAUUGUCAUCUGUGGAUUGACUCUUAGCCUUAAAAAACAAAGCCCCUGUAUCAAAAACUCACUCAACAAGGGCCGUACCGCCUCCUUUGGACCCCAUCUGAGAUCCAACAGGUAAAAGAUCCACCAGGCCAGGUGUGGUGGCUCACGCCUGUAAUCCAAGCACUUUGGAGGCCAAGGCAGGUGGAUCACCUGAGGUCAGGAGUUCAAGACCAGCCUGACCAACAUGGUGAAGCCCUGUCUUUAAAAAAAAAAAAAAAAUUAAAACACCUACUUGUGACUGCCCUGUUUCAGCCUUGCCCUCCUCAGAAGAGCCAUUCCACCAUCUCAUUAACGUAAGCAAAAGGAGUGGUCCUAGGGGUCCUCGCCCAAACACGGGCACCAGCAGUAGCCCAUAGCCUCUCUGUCCAAACUCAUUGACCCAGUAACCUGUGGAUGGCCCGACUGUUUCCAGUCCGUAGCAGCAACUGCCUUGCUAACAGAAGAAAGCAGGAAAAUAAGCUUCUGGGGAAGCCACCUCGCAAGUGCCCCCAUCAAGUUAGAGCCAUUCUGAAUCAGAAGGCAGGGAGAUGGCUCCAUAAUUUUAAAAUAUGAAGCUUUCUUAUUAGAGAGGGACAACUGAAUACUAACACCAAGGAUUCGCUCAACCCUGCGGCUUUCUGAUGGAAAAUGCAAACCAGGAAGAAGCUGAGCAUAAAUGCUUAGAUCUGGUCACCUGUCAAACUAGAGUCAGACUGGGUCUCAGUGAAUCCGUCUUCCAAACAGGGCGCCGCCUCUUUCUAGACGCUUUCUCUCAGGUCACCGAAGAAAAAAGGCACAACGGGUAUUCCACGUGGAUGAGGAAACCCUUACACAGGUAGAGUCAGAAAGACUGCCAAGUGGCUGGUCUGCCCAAACAUGCGAACUCUUUGCGUUAAACCAAGCCUUAAAGUCCCUGUAGAAUCAGGAAGGAACUGUUUACAUUGACUCCAAGUGUGCCUUCAGAGUAGUCCAUACCUUUGGGAAGAUCUGGACAGAAUGAGGCCUCAUGAUAGUAAGGGCCAACAUGUGGUCCACAAGGACUUAAUUCUGCAAGUACUAGAAAACCUUAAGCUGCCGGAGAGAUGGUGGUUGUCCAUGUCCCAGGACACCAAAAGAACCCACCUUUUGGAAGCUGGGGAAAUUACCUCACAGACCAAGUAACCAGGCAAGCUGCCUCCUCCCAAGAGGCACCCAUUUUCCAUCUAACCUUUUGUCCUCCGCUCCAGCUGCCAUCCUCAUCUUCUCCCACGCAGACCAAGAUAAACUUUUUUUCUCUUUUUUUAAGAGAUGGGGUUUCACCAUAUUGAUCAGGCUGGUCUUGAACUCCUGACCUCGUGAUCUGCCCACCUUGGCGUCCCAAAGUGCUGGGAUUACAGGUAUGAGCCACCUCGCCCGGCCUAGACCAAGAGAAACUAAAGAAAACAGAAGCUAAGGAGCGCCCAAGGGGAAGUGGGUGCUGACAGAUGGAAGGACAUGCUGCCUCAGCCGUACAAGCUCCGUGGAUGCCUGUGGGUGUGUGCUGAUAGAGCCCCUCGCUAGGCAAGUGGCGAUGGUUGCAGAGUGUGAAGAAAAACGAAUAUGCAAACCCUAAAGAGGCAGCCUCCCAGGAGAAUAAACGCAGGGUUGAGGCCGUUCCAAAGCGUCCGAGUUGACUAGACUGAAAGGCCCCCAGUGGGCCCUCCUAAGAUUUACUAGGGAUAGCAGACCAUCUCACCCACUGGAUAGAACCACCCGCUUCCCAAGCAUAACAGCAGGCAUUAGUCAAAGCCGCGUUGGAAUGUGUCAUCCUCAGGUUUGGACUAAUAGCAAACGUUGAUUCCGACAAUGGGGCCCACUUCAGUGCACACAUCAUUAAGGGGCUAACCCAAGCCCUGAGAAGAUGGGAAUAUCACAUUCCCUGGCACCCACCCUUAUCAGGGAGGACAGAAAGAAUAAAUCGAACUCUAAGAAUUCGUCUCACCAAGUUAACCUUGGAAAACCAGUUACCAUGGACAGAAUGCCUUCCCAUUGCCUUACUAAGAAUCUGAAGUGCCUCUGGAAAAGAUCUUGGCCUGUCCCCUUAUGAGAUGCUCUCCCGUCUCCCUUAUCUAAAUUCCACUACUAACCUUCCUACAUUUGAAACAAAAGAUCAGUUUCUCAAAAACUAUGCAUUUGGUCUGUCUUCCACCCUUCCCUCCCUCAGGACUGAAGGCCUCCUAGCGAAAACUCCACCCCUCGAAUUCCCAGUUCACCAGCAUCAGCCCGGAGAUCUCAUCCUUAUCAAAAGUUCGAAAGAGGGAAAGCGCAAACCAACCUAAGGAUGGACCCCACACACACUCGAGUAAAACCAGCCCCACCCCUACAAAGUCAUGGACCAUCACUCCAGCACCAACAGCCUCCAAACUAACAUUCAGAAAGGUUUAAUCUGUCUUUUUCUUCUUCCUUUAGCUCCCUGAGACAUCAUCAAUGUAACCUGAUCACCCUCCCCCACAAACAGUUACAUUCGAUGCCUGUCUUGUCAUGCCCAAUGGGAAUCUCCAAACUCAGAGACAGCUACAGUCUUCAGAGAAGUUCCUCUUCCCCUCUAGGAAAAGCAACACCACCCCUGACUCUUGCAGCGAAGGAGUACAAAGAUUCCCGCUUUGAGGACAAGUCCAAAGUUGGGGGUUUUGCUAUACUUGGGGAGAUGUUCUGUGGAUUGCCACCUAUCAGGCUGGACCUCCUGGAAGGAUUGUGCCACCCUAAAACCCUGUCUCUCACUGGCACGGUGGCUCAUGCCUGUCAUCCCAGCGUUUUGGGAGGCUGAGGCAGGCGGAUCACUUGAGGUCAGGAGUUUGAGACCAGCCUGGCUAACAUGGUGAAACUGCACCUCUACUAAAAAUACAAAAAAUUAGCCAGGAGUGGUAGCAGGCGCCUGUAAUCCCAGCUUCUUGGGAGGCUGAAACAGGAGAAUCGCUUGAACCUGGGAGGCGGAGGUUGCAGGGAGCCAAGAUGGCACCACUGCAUUCCAGCCUGGGCAAAAGAGCAAGACUCUGUCUCAAAAAGCAAACAAAAAACCGCUAUCUACACUUUACCAAAGGAACCACCCCUUCUAAUUGCCAGUGUCACCAUUGCAACCUAGUCCUUAUCUCCAUUAAUGUCCCUGCCUCCACCACCCUAACCCUGCCUCAGAGCACUUCUGUGACCUAGUAGGAGCCGGUGUCCCUGAAAAGGUCCCUAUGGGCAUCUUUGAAAUACUCUUCGUUCCUCCCCCUCCAUCUUCCCCCAUUACCCCUUCCCAAACUCACACAAUCAAACGAUUUCUUGCUUCAUCCCCAAUGACAAAACCAAAGUAGCCACAGUAGAAGUCAAGGGCGUGAAGCAAACUAGCCAUGGAAACCAGGUAUCAGGAUGGACAUGCCUGGCUGGAACGGAUUAAGUAUUUCGUUCACACCCUAAAUAAAAGCAGCUGUUACUCUUGUUCAAUGGGCAGGCCAGAAGCCCAGAUUGUUCUAUUCCCACUCAAAUGGGCCAACCAGCCAGGCACGAACUUCAUGGUAGCUCUCCUCCAGCCCCCCACAGCCUGGGGGACAAGUCUCGCCCUCUUACACUACUUUACCCAAAGGCCAGGAGCCCCAUGAGACAGCACCCAGGACCAUUCGACCUCCCGCCCUCAAUGCCGUUUACCUUGUGUCUCUUAUGGCAGGGGUAGAAUUUGACAUUUCUUGGAAACCUCAUGGGAUGUAGUGGGCCUAAACUUUUUCAAGAGCUAACCACUCGAUUGGCCCUCUUCUGUCCCCACAUGGUGAGCGGUGGUAUUCAGUCGGCCGUGGCCCAUCCCCGCGUGGAUGAGCGGUGGUUUUGCUGGGGACCAAUAUGGGGUUCUGUGCCAGCAACAGGAGCAGCACUUGUGCUCUGGCUGGUAGGCCAGCCCUUCCACGUUGGCAUUUCAUCAACCAGACAGGAAGCAGUUGCCAUGAAGGAAAAGAGAAGACCCCCACACUUACAUAGACAGUAACAGGGCACAUAGGGGUGUCAGGAUCCUGUGAGGGGUACCAAAUGAAUUCAAAGCUCAAAACCAAACAGCCACCAGGUUGAGUCUGCCUUGUGGUCUGCUCGAAAUAAAAAUGCUGACUUGUUGGGGAAAUGGCGUUGGAGGGAGCGCUCACAGAGUGCCACGUGAAACGGUUACAAGUCGUGGGAACAGUAAACUGUGGCAAACUGUGGCAGGUCUCCGGGGAGGCAAACUUCCCUAAGCCUCAUGUUCCUGGUGCAGAGUGACCUUGACUCUGAUACAGAGCAUCACGUGCUCAAGGGCGUCAAACCCCUUUUGUAGCAUCACAAAGCAACCAGACUUGCAGGCUCCUUGUGAGACUCACUCCCUCCAGCUGCGCCUAGAAUACAACCUACACGGCCGACUGAAUAACCACACGUUUCUGCUUUUCAAAGUUUCCCACAAAGCCACUACUGCCGGCAGUGUUUAGAAUGACGGGCCAGCUCCCAUUCACCGAGGAAUGUCCACCGUCACGCCACCCCUCCCCACCAUCACCUCAGCUUCACCCACCAUCUGCUGACUGGUCAGAGUGAUUGUAACCAAUAAAUACUGUGGAGAACCUCA